UACGUAGGUGGCAAGCGUUGUCCGGAAUCAUUGGGCGUAAAGAGCGUGUAGGCGGCCCGGUAAGUCCGCUGUGAAAGUCCAGGGCUCAACCCUGGGAUGCCGGUGGAUACUGUCGGGCUCGAGUCCGGAAGAGGAGUGUGGAAUUCCUGGUGUAGCGGUGAAAUGCGCAGAUAUCAGGAGGAACACCAAUGGCAAAGGCAGCACUCUGGGACGUGACUGACGCUGAGACGCGAAAGCGUGGGGAGCAAACAGG
rnacentral:rRNA from 1 species